GUGGCACCAUGCUACAACAUGACUCUUGGAAGUCUCCUUUUAAAGAGAGAGCAAGGUAAUUUCUUAGUCGUCAUUUCAGAUGUUUCUGCAGCCAAUAGUGAAAUAUUUGGAGAGAAUCUUCCUUUAUAGAGGGAUCACAAGAGACACCUACCAGAAGAUACGAAUGGUCUGACUCUGAAUGGGAAUGAAAAACAUACCUGCAUAAAAUAUGCACUAAAAGAAAAGCAAAAGUCUCACGAUAUAUAUUGAACAACUGUAUAUUCCAAAGACUCCCUGGCAAGUUCUCAUCUGUUCUGAGCAGUUGGUGUUUUCAGCGUUCUUCAUUCAGUUUGGCCGUUUUGGUGGUUAGCCAGAAACUUUCAAUAUAAUGAAUAGAAGUGAUGCUAGAGAAAAACUGUCAACACUUCACCAAUUAAUACACUGUGUGCAGAGUAUCUUGAGCAGAUCCUUUUAUGCUAUUGGCCUAGAUGGUCUGUGGUCUUAAUUCCAUUGUGCACCGAUUGGAUGUGGCUGCAUUUACAGAGGGACAGUCCAGUCACUUACUAGGUACACUUACUCUGUACCUAUCCAAGCAACGAGAAUCAGAAACCCGGAAACAGCAGCUGAAAUGAUUUAUAUACUCCCUAAGGAGGCAGCGCCCAGUGGAUGAAGCCCUACGGGAGAGCACGCCAGCAGCGGAGGCUCUAGGGGGAAAGCGUGUUGUCUAAGGCAAAGGACCUCUGCCAGCUUACACAUUUAUUUGAAAGACACAGACAUAAAAAGGAUUAAUAUGUUUAUGUAACUAAAAGCAGUAGUAAGAAAUAGGUAACUAGGUGAGGCUCCUGAAGAUUUUGAAAGAAGUGUGUUACUUGCUUGCUGCUCCUUUAAGGGAUAAAAACAAAACAAAACACAUACCCCUAAGCCUAAGAAUUCUUUCUGGGCCCCCAAGGCAGGUUCUCAGCUCGUUUAACUGUCUAAAGCUACUGAACCCAUGAGUUCUAGUGAGCAGUAAAAGCUCUAAUGAACUCCGUAGUCUGGAUUUACAAAAUAGAAAAUGUGGAGGUUAGAAUGAAGCACUGUCUUCACUUUUCUACUUCUAAUGUGAUGAAAAUCAGUUUUCUUCAAAACCAAGAUCACCAUUCUUUGAGCAUAUCCUUGUAAGGUACAAGAUCAAACACUUGAUCUUAUUCAGGGAGUUAACUGUUUUCUUUAGUAAAGACGAAGUUUUUUUUUCUUCUAGGCAUCAAAGGCAAACCAGAUAGAACAUUAAGACGACAGGCAAUAAAAAGAUGAGAUUCAGGCUCUUGCUGUCACCCAGGCUGAAGUGCAGAGGCACCAUCAUAGCUCAAGCUCACGGUAACCUUCAACUCCUGGGCUCAAGGGAUCCUGGGACAAAGUAUCAAAGGCAAACCCUCAUAGGCUGAGAAACAUUAUGAAAACUGAAAGUUAAAGGUGCCAGAACAUAAAAAGUCAGAUGAAGAUGAGUCAUUUAAUGGUUUCAUUCUUACUGGACCAUUCUGGAUGGAGACAAUAAGUAGAAGAAUGUUUUGUGGCAAUUCUCAUAAAACGAAACCUAACACCUAUUCUCAAUAUUCAACCAGCAAAACACCUCACUUACCUGUGCACAUGAUCUCAUGCAACAAAGCGUCCCUACAGGUUGUAUCUGGUGAGUAUGCAGACAUACGGAUCUUCGUCUUAAAACAGGUUUUAGCUGUGGCACUAUGACAUUUUGGAUCAAAUCAGUCUUUGUUGUAGGGGCUGUCCUGUACAUCACAGGAUAUUUAGCAGCAUCCCUACUUUCCACUCCCCAGGAUCCUGUACCAACCACCCCUUCCUCAAGCUGUGAUAACCAAAACUGUCUCCUGACAUUGCUUUAAUGUCUCCAUGGGGAGCAAAAUCACUCCCUAUGGGAACCAGUGUUGUAAACUAUUUUAGAGGCAAACCAUAAACUAAGUCCCCAAACUGUGAUAGGGGAAAUAGUCUAUAACUUCCUAAUACAGUAGCUGAUCACUACAUGAUGCUACUAAGCACUUCAAAAGUGGCUAAGUAUGAAGAGAAUUCUUAAUUUCAUUUCAUUUUAAUUAAGUCCUACAUGUACUAUAAGGACAAGAUACUUCAUCAUGGAAAACUGUGUAGAUAUCUUGAUACCUUUGUUAAAAAUCAUGUGGUUGAUAGGCAAUAAAAACUUACAGAAAGGGUUUCACCAUGUUGUCCUGACUGGUCUCAAACUAUCCACCCACCUCCACCUCCAGAAGAGCUGGGAUUACAGGUGUGAGUCACUGCACCAGGCAUAAAUGUUUUAUUCGUCCUAUUUCUAUCCAUUUAAUUUUCAUUCUAAGUAUUUAUUUGUUAAAUUAAAAGGUGAACUGUGAAGAAGUUAAAGACUACAAUGAUAGAAAUUUAAAUUCUCUUUAAAU